ACGCUCGACACCUACGGGAGGCAGCAGUUGGGAAUAUUGGACAAUGGAGGAAACUCUGAUCCAGUGACGCCGCGUGAAGGAAGAAGGUCUUCGGAUUGUAAACUUAUUUUGUCAGGGAAGAAAAAAAUGACUGUACCUGAAGAAAAAGCACCGGCUAACUACGUGCCGGCAGCCGCGGUAAUCUGAGGCCGGGCUGGACAAGGC
rnacentral:rRNA from 1 species